GGAGAAUGCUGGUAACAGAGCUUGCAGUGUUAAACACACAGACUUCCAAAUUGGUUAUUGAGGAGUCUACCAUUCACCUCACUGAAGCUGGGAGGCUAGUGCUUGACCAACUGUCAGCACCUUCAGAUAGCCAUUCACAGCCAAAUAGGGAAGACUCUGGUUUUCCCUAUGAGAAGUUGCAGCUGGUUGGGAACUGGGGUUCGU